rnacentral:rRNA from 1 species
GAUGAACGCUGGCGGCGUGCUUAACACAUGCAAGUCGAACGGUGAACACGGAGCUUGCUCUGUGGGAUCAGUGGCGGACGGGUGAGUAACACGUGAGCAACCUGCCCCUGACUCUGGGAUAAGCGCUGGAAACGGCGUCUAAUACUGGAUAUGUGACGUGACCGCAUGGUCUGCGUUUGGAAAGAUUUUUCGGUUGGGGAUGGGCUCGCGGCCUAUCAGCUUGUUGGUGAGGUAAUGGCUCACCAAGGCGUCGACGGGUAGCCGGCCUGAGAGGGUGACCGGCCACACUGGGACUGAGACACGGCCCAGACUCCUACGGGAGGCAGCAGUGGGGAAUAUUGCGCAAUGGGCGCAAGCCUGAUGCAGCAACGCCGCGUGAGGGAUGACGGCCUUCGGGUUGUAAACCUCUUUUAGCAGGGAAGAAGCGAAAGUGACGGUACCUGCAGAAAAAGCGCCGGCUAACUACGUG